rnacentral:rRNA from 1 species
AUACGUAGGGUGCGAGCGUUGUCCGGAAUUACUGGGCGUAAAGAGCUCGUAGGUGGUUUGUCGCGUCGUCUGUGAAAUUCCGGGGCUUAACUCCGGGCGUGCAGGCGAUACGGGCAUAACUUGAGUACUGUAGGGGAGACUGGAAUUCCUGGUGUAGCGGUGAAAUGCGCAGAUAUCAGGAGGAACACCGAUGGCGAAGGCAGGUCUCUGGGCAGUUACUGACGCUGAGGAGCGAAAGCAUGGGUAGCGAACAGGAUUAGAUACCCUGGUAGUCCAUGCCGUAAACGGUGGGCGCUAGGUGUGGGGGUCUUCCACGACUUCCGUGCCGUAGCUAACGCAUUAAGCGCCCCGCCUGGGGAGUACGGCCGCAAGGCUAAA